rnacentral:lncRNA from 1 species
UGCUCUUCCUCUCUAAUCCUUGUAAAACCUUAUGAAAAACCUUCCUCCCUUGACCUUGGCGAGCUUGACUUUAUAUAGGUUAAGUGGACUUUUUCCCAGAUUUCCAUAUUUGCCCCUGAACUUGCCUCGCGAUUUCCCGGACAUGCGCGGGCGCGGAUUAGGCCGCGCACCGGGCCGCGCAUGUACUCUGCUCUUUGUAAUGGACGCGCAUUUACAUUCGGGGGCGCGCACCUGGGCGCGCAUGCCCAGGUGUUCAACUUCUUCAUUUUCUUGAGUUCUCUUCGAUCUCAUUUAGUCCCAAGGGGUCUCAAUUACUCCCGAAUGAUUCCAAUCAAUAUUUUCUUGCACCAAAUAGACUCCUUGCAAAACGUACAAUUCGCUAUUAGAAUCCAUCUUUCAUCAAUUAAUCAUAAUUUACAAUUAGAAUAUAAUCAAGUAGAUGCACUAGAUUUUGCCUAUUAUCAUUUGCCAUAUACCAGUGUUCAACAUAAUAUACAAGUUAAUAACUGCCAAACAAGAGAACUUUUGAAUUUAGAGAAAUUUUAAUAUGGAUAAUAAACAAAAAGUCUUCAACUGGAAUUGGAUUUUGUAAAGCUUAAUUAGAUAUACCUCCUAGACAGGAUUGAAUAAGGAUUUGACUUCUCAAGAGGAGGUUAAU